rnacentral:rRNA from 1 species
AAACUUUCAACAACGGAUCUCUUGGUUCUGGCAUCGAUGAAGAACGCAGCGAAAUGCGAUAAGUAAUGUGAAUUGCAGAAUUCAGUGAAUCAUCGAAUCUUUGAACGCACACUGCGCCCCCUGGUAUUCCGGGGGGCAUGCCUGUCCGAGCGUCAUUG